rnacentral:rRNA from 1 species
GUGGGGAAUAUUGGACAAUGGUCGCAAGACUGAUCCAGCCAUGCCGCGUGCAGGAAGACGGCCCUAUGGGUUGUAAACUGCUUUUGUACCAGAGAAAACCUAUCUACGUGUAGAUAGCUGAUAGUAUGGUAAGAAUAAGCAUCGGCUAACUUCGUGCCAGCAGCCGCGGUAAGACGAAGGAUGCAAGCGUUAUCCGGAUUCAUUGGGUUUAAAGGGUGCGUAGGCGGGCUUGUAAGUCAGUGGUGAAAUCUCUCAGCUUAACUGAGAAACUGCCAUUGAUACUGCAGGCCUAGAGUAUAGAUGACGUUGGCGGAAUAUGACAUGUAGUGGUGAAAUACUUAGAUAUGUCAUAGAACACCUAUUGCGAAGGCAGCUAACGAAACUAUAACUGACGCUGAGGCACGAAAGUGCGGGGAUCAAACA